UCUAUAACCACCCUAUAUACAAUAGGCCAUCGUUCUAGUGAGACCUAUGUUAAAACUCUCCCUCCAUUAGAAAAGCCUUUUUCACCACAAGAAGAAAAGGCCUAAGAGGCCUACCAAAACUCUACCGAAUCACUGGCAAGAAACCCUUUAAGCUCAUAAGAACCCCUGAAAUCAUCAUUCCUAGUGGCUCUCUGCACAUUUCAUGGUGUGAACCAACCUUGUUCUAGUGGCUCUUUGUACCCCUUAUGGUGUGGACCGUCGUAGAUACCCACUUCUAACUUCUGUGCUGUAAAAAUUGAUGCCGUUUGUGGAAAUUAAGAAAAGGUCAUGUCUUUUCCUAAGUGAGAAUCCAUAACUCAAUCCCCUCAAGCUUUUUUUUUUAUCCUUUUUUCUAUUUUAGGGUCUUCUAAGUUUUUUCAAUAUUUGAGUUUAGGAGCUUUCAACUUUGAGGGAAGGGGGAGCAAAUAUGUUUCCAUCAAAUAUGUCAAUAGAAGUACUCCUUCCACCCUCAAGUAGCGAUCAAAAAGGGGCCAACAGGGAGCUUACUCUAGCAAACCAAGGGGGCUUUGCUAGCACAUCAAGGGGGAGCCUUAUUUGUACACUAGAGGACCUUUUGCUAGUACCGCAAGGGGGUUCUUUGCCCAUACACUAAGAGGCCCUUUGUCAGCACACCAAGGGAGUCUUUUGUUGGAAAAACAUUUAGAAAAUAUGUGAGAAUUGACAUUGUGGAAUUUUAAAAAUAUUAGUGUUUCGAUAUUUCGGGAGAUAGUCUAUAUCACAAACGACCUUGGGAAGGUGUCUGGAUUUUUCAAUAAACUCGAAUUGAAGUUCAACUUCUUCAAGCUUUCAACCCAUUGAUCUUAUCUAUUAUUCCUGAGCUCUCAAUUGCUAUAGAAGUGAGCUCUAACUCAAAAUACGGAACACAAUAUAUAAACAGAGAUUCUUAGGGGUGGAAAUCAAACUCUUUUAUGGAGACCCCAAAACCAAAGAAUCAACUUUUAUAUUUGAAUUGUAAUCGCUAGACGAUUUUAAUUAUAGUUAUUCUUAAUCUAGAAUCCAAACUCAUGAAAAAUAGAAUUUAUUUGCGUACUAAAAGUGUAAUAGGCCCAAUUUGUCUGGCCCGCAACAAACCCAGAAAAAUAAGUUAAAAACCAAAAUAAAAAAUACAAAUAAAAGAUCCAAAUUUAAAGGUCCAAUGUCCAUUUACAAAUUUUUUUGGCCUGAACCAAACUAAACUCAAACAUUAAAAUCAAACCCCAACUUAAUCCCAGGCCCAACAAAACCCAUUACACCCAAAAUGGACCUAACCAAGGCCCAAUACCCGAGUGAAAGAAAUCAAGCCCGAUAGGCCCGAAUUUUUUCCAAUUUUUGGAAACCCUAGGGUUUCCUAUCGGUUCCGCACCGCAGCUGUAGUCACCAGUAGCCCCAACGAGCGUCCCUCUAUCCACGCCCACGAACGGUUUUUCCACGCCAUGCACAUCUGCAACAGAAAACAACCACAAGCAGCAAUUGACAGCAGAUUACAGCAAAUUACAGCAAGGAAAAUUUGUAUUAUUUUAUUUUAUCCUUAUUUUUCGGUUAUAAAACCGAAUGAAGAUGGAUGUAAGGGGGAUCUUUUUUUUCCUCCUUUUUAUGAAGAGAAUAGCAGAGAAAUACACACAGAUACUAAAAAAUCAAUUUGAAAUUAGUUUUAAGGUGAUUUUAGAUCAUGUUCUUCCUUGAUUUUCGUUUCUAUUUCAUCAUUCUUUAUCUAUUGCAUGAAAAUAAAUCUAUAAGGAGAAAAUGAGACUUAUCUAUUGUUGAAGGAGGCUUCGAAAUCCUUAUUUGCUUCGUCGUAAUCGAAGUUAAGGCGAAGAUUUUGAAGCCUGUGAGCAAGGCUCUCGGAUUUGUGGUCGAACAGGACCAGACUUGGCCUUUGCUUGAUGGCCAUCAGCCGAACAGGGAGGCAAAGCGGUAGGGGAAAGGUGCCUUAGGUUCGGCCGAGUAAAUGGGGAAUAGGUCUUAGGUUUUUCUUUUUUUUAAAUUUGCUUUUAAGUGGCUGAAUAUUGGAUUUUAGGUUUUUAGGUUUGAUUUUGUGCAGAAUUCAAAACGGUGCAAUGUAAAUGGGGAGAGAUCCGCGCGCGCAAACCUGAUCCAUAGGCUGGAUUAGCGCUUUGGCGCUUCAAAUGGUUAAUUUGUGCGGAUAGUCCUUUGCCUUCGCGCUAACUUUUUAAUUAGUCCUUAUUCACAUUUUAUUUGUUUUAAAUUUCUCCUUAGAAUUUACGUGGCAUUUCAGUUUAGCCCGCACCUAAAUGCUGUACUUUGAGAUCUGGAAUAUUUUCGGUUUUGAUCCCUACGCAUUUGUGCUCAUUGCGCUUUAGUCUUUUGAAAUUUCAAUGGUUUAAUUUAUUAAUUAUCUCUUUCAUUUUAACUUUAUUUUAAUUGAGUUUUGUUAUUUUUGUAUAAUUCAUUAUUAUUUUUAAAAAAUCCACUUAGCAUUCAUUUUUAAUUCUUGUUUAUUUAUUUUUAUAUUUUUAGCUAUUUUGAUAAUCUUAUUUUGUUUUUU
rnacentral:lncRNA from 1 species